rnacentral:rRNA from 1 species
UAUUGGGAGUUUGAUCCUGGCUCAGAACGAACGCUGGCGGCAGGCUUAACACAUGCAAGUCGAACGCCCCCUUCGGGGGGAGUGGCAGACGGGUGAGUAACACGUGGGAACGUGCCCUUCAGUUCGGAAUAACCCAGGGAAACUUGGGCUAAUACCGGAUACGCCCUAACGGGGAAAGAUUGAUCGCUGAAGGAUCGGCCCGCGUCUGAUUAGCUAGUUGGUGGGGUAAUGGCCCACCAAGGCGACGAUCAGUAGCUGGUCUGAGAGGAUGAUCAGCCACACUGGGACUGAGACACGGCCCAGACUCCUACGGGAGGCAGCAGUGGGGAAUAUUGGACAAUGGGCGCAAGCCUGAUCCAGCCAUGCCGCGUGAGUGAUGACGGCCUUAGGGUUGUAAAGCUCCUUCGGCGGGGACGAUAAUGACGGUACCCGCAGAAGAAGCCCCGGCUAACUUCGUGCCAGCAGCCGCGGUAAUACGAAGGGGGCGAGCGUUAUUCGGAAUCACUGGGCGUAAAGCGUGCGUAGGCUGUUUUGUAAGUCAGGAGUGAAAGCCCAGGGCUCAACCUUGGAAUUGCUCUUGAAACUACAAGACUUGAAUUCGGGAGAGGAUAGCGGAAUUGUCAGUGUAGCAGUGAAAUGCGUAGGUAUUGACAGGAACACCAGUGGCGCAAGCGGCUAUCUGGACCGACAUUGACGCUGAGGCACGAAAGCGUGGGGAGCAAACAGGAUUAGAUACCCUGGUAGUCCACGCCGUAAACGAUGUGAGUUUGUCGUUGGAAAUCUUAGAUUUUCGGUGACGUAGUUAACGCGUUAAACUCACCGCCUGGGAAGUACGGCCGCAAGGUUAAAACUCAAAGGAAUUGACGGGGACCCGCACAAGCGGUGGAGUAUGUGGUUUAAUUCGUCGCAACGCGAAGAACCUUACCAGGCCUUGACAUCCCGAUUAAGAGGACCAGAGAUGGACCUCGUCAGUUCGGCUGGAUCGGUGACAGGUGCUGCAUGGCUGUCCUCAGCUCCGGGCCUGGAGAUGUUCCGGUUAAGUCCCGGCAACGAACCGCAACCCACAUCCCCCAGUUUGCCAGCAAGGGCAAACUUGGGGCCUCCUUGUGGAAACUGCCCCUGAUAAAACCGGAAGAAAAAGGUGGGAAGACACCCCAAAGCCCUCAGGGGGCUUCUAGGGGUGGGGGGUCACCACCGCGCCCAAAGGA